rnacentral:rRNA from 1 species
AAAUCCCCGGGCUCAACCUGGGAACUGCAUUCGAAACUGGCAGGCUUGAGUCUUGUAGAGGGGGGUAGAAUUCCAGGUGUAGCGGUGAAAUGCGUAGAGAUCUGGAGGAAUACCGGUGGCGAAGGCGCGAUCAGGAAGGAAACCG